rnacentral:rRNA from 1 species
UACGAAGGGGGCUAGCGUUGCUCGGAAUCACUGGGCGUAAAGCGCACGUAGGCGGAUCGUUAAGUCGGAGGUGAAAUCCUGGAGCUCAACUCCAGAACUGCCUUUGAUACUGAAGAUCUUGAGUCCGGGAGAGGUGAGUGGAACUGCGAGUGUAGAGGUGAAAUUCGUAGAUAUUCGCAAGAACACCAGUGGCGAAGGCGGCUCACUGGCCCGGUACUGACGCUGAGGCACGAAAGCGUGGGGAGCAAACAGG